ensembl:lncRNA
CGGGGGAGUGUUCCCAACCCUCCCCUCCACUGACAGCAGUGGUUGUGUUUAUAACGUGAGGAGGGACGCGACGGGGAUGCUUCAGGUUAUCCACACUUACGACUGUAACACUUUCCAACGACUCAUUGACAUAUCUUCGUCUGCUUUUGGGGAAUGCGUAGGUUAUUAGCAGCGGCCAAGUGACGCAGAGAAGUGGUACAGAACAGAAUGUAGUGACGUCAUCAGAACACGGCCCCGGACAGACAAACAGCCUCCCGGAGAGACACACAGCCCCCAGACAGACACACAGCCCCCAGACAGACACACAGCC